rnacentral:lncRNA from 1 species
AAGAACCUGAUUUCUUUUGAAUAACUACUAAUUAAUUAUAUAUGCAUUUUUCAUUUUGGCAUACAUUUUAAUCAAUACAAAACAUUAUCCAGACAGAUGAUAUAUUACAACUAUUCAAAACAAAAUUUCUUUCUUCAAAAAAUGGUUCUAUUAGGGAAAACGUAUAUAUAGAAAUAUAAAAUUCAAUUUUAGAAUAUCUACAAUUAUAAUUUGAUAAAAAAAAUUAUGGGGGAUAUAUUUAGAUAUUACUUAUCUUAAUCUUUCAUCUUACAAUUAAAUAUUUUCUUAUAAUUCAAAACUACAGGACCCCUCUAUUACAACUAAAUUACUGUAUUAUAAUUGAUUAAAAAUUAACAUAGCAUUUAUGUAUCCUCUAAAUCAACUAGGCUUAAUUGUUUACACAGUUUUCAAUGUGUUAGGUUCAAAGUCAUUUUGUUAAAUUGCAAUUCAAACCCAUUUAUUAGCCCAUAUUUGAUUAUUAUUUCUAUGAAAGAUAUGACACAAAUUUUCUAAAUAAGUUCCAUUUUCUUCAGGUUUUAGAUAUAAGGAUGCUAUAUAUUCACUGAGAGGGUCUAACUUCGAUAGACACAGACAAGAAUUUGUGUAAUAAUGACUUAAUUUCUCCACAGGUGCAUACAUUUGUGUGUGAUUAGUCAGAAAAUCAUUUGUUAAUGUGUGCCCUUAUGAGGCUGUAUCACAAGUACAAUUUAUUUCUUUGCAUUUUUUUUUAUCAUAAUAUCAUAAAAGGCCUUAAUUUCAAUCCCAUUAUUAAAACACAAAAAAAAUUCUAUCAUGUGAUUUCAAUGACUGGUCAAAAUGGCCAUUAUUAGGAGUUAGAACUGUUAUUUGGUAAUAUAAUAAAUGAAUGCUGACUGUUUUAGUGAGGUAACAACUAAAACAAGGUAAAAAAGUUAGGGAUAUUGUUUGAAUGAAUGUAAAAAUGAUACAAAGAUAAAAGUGUACAAUUCAUUGAAGGUCUAAAAAAAACAUGGAUUUCAAGUACUGUUGGUUUAUUAUUAUUUGUGAGAUAUUAAUUUUCAGGGAUUUCAUGGAUGCAUGUGAACCAAUACCAAUAAUUUAUAUGUUGAACACACUAAAAUUUUACAAAGGCUUCUAUGUAGACUUUUGUAAAACUACAAAAUAAAUUAUCCACAAUUUUUUUUUCUCCCUUAACCCACAAAAAUCACUACAUA